AUCCUUUUGUGGUUCCUAAGUGUGAUGCUCAGGUUUUCAUGCUAUUGUGUGACACGGGCCUCCCUCAAACCGUGUUACAGUGUUGGCACAUUACCUAUCUGACA